GACGAACGCUGGCGGCGUGCUUAACACAUGCAAGUCGAGCGGAAAGGCCCUUCGGGGUACUCGAGCGGCGAACGGGUGAGUAACACGUGAGCAACCUGCCCCUGACUCUGGGAUAAGCCCGGGAAACUGGGUCUAAUACCGGAUACGACCUCCGAUCACAUGGUUGGUGGUGGAAAGUUCUUCGGUUGGGGAUGGGCUCGCGGCCUAUCAGCUUGUUGGUGGGGUAGUGGCCUACCAAGGCGACGACGGGAGCCGGCCUGAGAGGGCGACCGGCCACACUGGGACUGAGACACGGCCCAGACUCCUACGGGAGGCAGCAGUGGGGAAUAUUGCACAAUGGGGGAAACCCGUGAUGCAGCGACGCCGCGUGCGGGAUGACGGCC
rnacentral:rRNA from 1 species